rnacentral:rRNA from 1 species
GUGCCAGCAGCCGCGGUAAUACGUAGGGUGCGAGCGUUAAUCGGAUUUACUGGGCGUAAAGCGUGCGCAGGCGGCCCGUUAAGACAGGUGUGAAAUCCCUGGGCUCAACCUAGGAAUUGCGCUUGUGACUGGCGGGCUCGAGUACGGUAGAGGGGGGUGGAAUUCCUGGUGUAGCAGUGAAAUGCGUAGAGAUCAGGAGGAACACCGAUGGCGAAGGCAGCCCCCUGGGCCUGUACUGACGCUCAUGCACGAAAGCGUGGGGAGCAAACAGGAUUAGAUACCCUGGUAGUCC